rnacentral:tRNA from 1 species
GUAAGUAUAGUUUAUCC